UCGCUCUACUUUGUACUUGCACUAGAUCAUACUGUGAUAUAAACAAGACAGAGUCACAUAUGCUGAAAGAAACUCUGAAUACUUCACCAGAAUUUUCGGACAAAAAAAUCAUGGAUGAAACACAAGGUCAAUUUUAAGCGGCUCGACAAAGUGGGCGAUCUAACUGGCACAGAAGAAUGACUAGCACGGUACCGCAGAUUGGAGAUGAGCCGACAUUUAGCCUAUAGCAAUAUAAAUACAGCGUUCAAAGACAAAUCAGUGAAAAAUAACUUUAUUUACAAACAUAUACACUAUUGAAAACCAUUUCAUAAUUUGGAUGAUAUAUUUAAGGGUGUAUGGUGUCCUAUGAUAGAGCGCCCGGCUCGAGUGCGGAAGGUCGUGGGUCCGAUCCCUGGCUGCGUCAUAAUGGUACUAGUAGCUUCCUUUCUUGGCACUAAGAGGACUGUCAGUAUAAUCUGACUUAGUAGGAUACCAUGUUACGUGUUUACGGCGUAAUAUUCCAGUGAGUCAGCAUUAUAAAGUUGGGAUAGUACAAUUUUCAGCUAUUAAAACAGUGCCACAGUUCGUUUCCGGCGGAACUAACAUAUCAUUCUGGGAAACAUCAGACGAUGGGGCGCCCACUUGUAGUCGUCCACGUUCCUUGGAAGCUGAUGAUACAGCGCCACAUGUUAAGGUGAGACAAACGUCACUGUCAAGCCUCGUAG